rnacentral:rRNA from 1 species
UGUCUUAAUUGGGACUCGUAUCAACGGCAUCACGAAGGCUGCACUGUCUCCUUUCUCUAAUCAGUGAAACUGAUCUCCCCGUGAAGAAGCGGGGAUAAAAUUAUAAGACGAGAAGACCCCAUGGAGCUUCAAACUCAUCAUGCAACUCUGUCCUCCAUAUCCCUUAAUUCAAGAGAUGUGCAUGUUAGUUUUGGGUUGGGGGGACCUCGGAGUAUAACUUAACCUCCAAAACAAAUGGGUUAACACCUUUAUCCGCGAGAAACACCUCUAAGAAUUAUUAAACUAAUGCUUUUUGAUCCGAUAAUCGAUCAAUGGACCAAGUUACCCUGGGGAUAACAGCGCAAUCUACUUCAAGAGUUCAUAUCGACAAGUGGGUUUACGACCUCGAUGUUGGAUCAGGGUAUCCUGGUGGUGCAACCGCUACUAAUGGUUCGUUUGUU